GGAUUAAAAUUGUGUUAAAGCCCACAGAGAGAAAACGCAUCCUCUCCUCCCGCGAUCUAGGGUUUCCUGUUGCUGAUCCCUCUCCGCCGAAGCUCCUCCCUCUCUCUCGCCACCUCCCUCUCUCGCCGAGCUAGGGUUUUGCAGCCGCCUCCCUCUCUCGCGACGAGCAACUCCUUCGCCGUGGCACCUCCCUCUCUCACAACGAGCAGCUCUUCACCGCGACGCCUCCCUCUCUCGCGACGAGCAGCUCCUUCGCCACGACGCCUCCCUCCCUCGCGACGAGCAGCUCCUUCUCUCGUGACGCCUCCUUCUCUCACAACGAGUAGCUCCUUAGCCGCGACGCCUCUCUCUCUCUCUCACGAUGAGCAGCUCCCUCUCUCGCGACGCCUCCCUCUGCGACGAGCUCCUCCGCUGCAAGCUCUCUUGCUGCAACACGUGACUCUCCUCCCCACCGCUACAUCCUCUCAGGUAUAAGUAGAGAAAAUUCAUGGCAGCUGGUUCUUCAUCAGCAUCAUCUUUCACUCGACGGCAUAUGAAUGACGAGCAAUGUGAAGCUACCCACAUAUUAUGUUAUUGUGGAUUACGAGCUAUUCUCCAGACAUCACAGACUAAAUCAAAUCUAGGAAGACGAUUUUUUUUCAUGUCCAAAAUAUAGACAAAGAGGAUGUGACUUUUUCUUAUGGCAUGAUCCAGAACCAUCAGAUAGAAGUAAGACAAUUAUUAAUGAGUUGAAGAAGAAUAACAAAAAAUUAAAGUUAGAGAUUAGUGAAUUGAAGAAAUGUGCUAGUUACGAGGGUGAAGUUGAAUAUAAUGAUGUUUUGGAUGAUGGAAACAACAAUUAUGUAACUAUGCAGUUGAGUGAUGAAAUAUAUUCAUUGAAUAGGAAAUUUAGAGUUGCUAUCAUGGUAGUUACAUUGUAUGUACUUGGAUUGUGAUUAUGGGGAUGUGGUUGAUGUAACUUGUGUUGUGAUGUUACUUGACAUUGUGAUGUAACUCUAAGUGGUGUAACUUGUUUUGUUUUGUGCUUACAAUUUCAAGAUGGUCCUAUUACUGAUCCUAAGCUUGAAA